UCCUGCGGGGCUCGGGCCGCGGGGCCGCGCCGCUCCCGGGACUCGGCAGCGAAGGACGGGGACGGGAAGAAAAAGGAAAAAAGCAGAGCCACCGGACCAUGGCCGUAGUCGGCAGGAUUCGAACCUGCGCGGGGAGACCCCAAUGGAUUUCUAGUCCAUCGCCUUAACCACUCGGCCACGACUACGUAUGCUAUAAAGUGCUUUCCCACCUUCUCAUGACUGGUUACCCGAGAAGAAGCAUGGAUGGAGCUUGGGUCUGUCUCCUCAUGAGGGUCAGUGAAAGGUUUAAAAUAGAGGUUAGACUUAAUGCGUCUGUCAGUUGGCUAGGCUGGAUAUUAGUCUGUUUAGAGCAUAACCAAACGGUUAGGCCUUGCUAAGUCCCGCGGGAAAAGCCUUUUAAAAAUUUUUUAAAAAAUUUAUUUCUUGUUUUGUUUUUGGUGUAGAUUAGAAGCAGCUGUGGACAGAGCGGCCUCAGUCCCCUUAAAACCAGGAACACUCCCCAGCUGGCAUCCCCAGUGCUCAGGAGUGCCCGGAGCAGGCAUUUUUGACGAAAGGCCUAUAGAGGUGGCUGUUGCCUAUUGCCCUGUUAAUAAAUCCAGCCAAACGUAGGAGGUGUCAGUCACCAGUGUUCCAAUGCCAGCUCCACCUCUCCCCCCCUCAGAGAAAUACGAGAGGUGAGGUGUCCCGAGGUGGACACACCACCCACAGUGCCAGUGAAUGCUGUAUAUUAUUAUAUAUUUUUUAGAAAUAUAAUGAAGACAUUUAGAGAGAGGUCCUGUUAAGCUAAACAGAGCAUUGCCACUUUUCCUUAGGUCAGCUGAGAUGGAAAACACAGUGCUUGUACAUUCCCAUUGCCAAGAUAGCUCAAAAUUUGUCAGCCUGUGAUGAAAUGGAGUCUGCUGUCCUUAGGAGCUCCAAGCAAAGCCUCUCAAUAACAAGGUAUUUUUAUAAUUCUCUGGGUAUUUCAAUUAAUGAGUUGCAAGCCCUGUCCAAAUUCCCUCGUACUUAAGCUUGUAUUUCAUUGUUCCAUUUUCCUCCCCACAUAUCUCGGGUCACUGUUAAUACCCCCACCCGAUCCAUGGCAGUGCUGCUGGGGGAGAUAUUUUGGGUAGAAGGGUUGUGAGCCUUUGCUGGGUUGAUGUGAUGGAAGAAACUAAAUAGUGUUGAUGCUGCUCCAGCUCUUUUAAGUGGUCCCUUGGCCAGGACUCUGUGUCAUGUAGGUAAAUUCAAUCCAGAAGAAGUGGAUUUUUGGGUGGAAUUUUUACAUUCAUCUCUUGCAGCUGUGGAGAGUUUAAACUAAUCACAAUUCUCCCCAGUAUGCUAUCAUCUCUAUAAUUUGAAAAAGGAUCAGGAGCCCACAGGCUUGGAAAAUCUUGAAGAAACUCUUGUCCUGAAAUACAUCAUCACAUGUGGAAAAGACCACUUGCUGCAUCAUCUUAAAGGAGCUUAAGAAUGCCGAAAUCCAGUAUCAUUCUGGCAUUCUUUCAAAUGGCCUUAGAAAUCUGAGUACAUUCUCUUUUGACUGCAAAACAGCUUCUUUCCCUUUCCAUCAAUCCUGUGGCUGUCAGUGUGUCUGUUGUAAGGUGCCAAAAAUGUAUGGAGUGUCUAUGCGAUAACGGUGCCAAAGUCAGGGGAGCCUCGAGGCCUUCUCCCAUGAACUCAUUGGAGCAUUUGCUCAGUUGGAAAGCAUUUGAAACCAAAAAGAAAAAAGGCACAGACCUUUAAAAAUUGUUGAACUCAAAAGAUUGGCUUAGUGCAGAUUGCUGCCUGCUGUUUAGAUCCUUGUUGUUCAAAACUUCUGAAAGGCCUGAUGCAAUCGAAGAGACUUACUGGGUCAAAUUGAUUCCAGACUAGCCCCUGGAAUCACAGAGGUGAAUCUGACAUACUGGGCCUUCAGCUAAGCUGUGGCCAGAAGAAAGGAAUUGAGGUCAUGCCCUGAGUUUUGUCCUCUCCUAGGAAAUCAGUGAAGUGUGUUGUUCAAAUCAUGUCUCCUACUGACUGUUUGGGUGCAAAUGGAAAGGUUACUGAUUGCUGAGGGCUGGAAAAGUACAGAAUGACCACUUUGACAAUGAUGGCUCUUUUUUUUUUUUUUUUUUUCCCCUUAAUAUACUAUCUCAAUAUAUCCUUAGGAAGAGAGGACAGAAAGCUGGAAGGCUGUCCUGGGUGGAAGCCAUAAUGUUCUCUAAUCUUCAAGCUACUGAAAGCUUUCUCAGUGGUGCUGAUAAAACUGGAUUUUGCCACAACAGUGACGAAGACAAAAAAACCUUUCAAGGCAGGAUGUUAAUUUCCCUCUUCUGUUUUCUCUAGGAACCAAGGUAAGCCUAAAUUGAGGUUGACCAGAACUCUUCUCAGUCCUCUUCUCUGAACAAUGGACUCUCCAUGGCUCAGCAAUGAUAAGAGGUCAUCAGAGCCAGGCUCAGAUGAAAGUAAAAUGGUCAGUUAAGUGAAUUGGACUAUCUGUAGAAGAACAGUGCCUGUCAGUAAGCCAGCCCAUACUGACCAGGUGCUCCCAGGAUGUGUCCUAGGUGGCAUUCCUCCUCCACGACCAAGUUUGUCACACCAGGUCCUGGGGCCCUGGUGCCACUGGCCCAGGGAGGGCUGUGCUCCAUUGUGAGCACAAGGGCUGCUGCAUUUGCUGCUGAAAGUAAACUGGAUGUCAAGCACUUUUCCCAUCUGGCAUCUAUUAAAAUAAUGUGUAUGAGCAUGUGUGUGUGUGUGUGUUAUAUGUAUUUGCACGUGUGUAUUUGUGUGUAUAAAAUAUAGGCAUGGUCUCUGAUUUCAAAUAUAGAACAAAAUGAAUGUUUCAAAUUAUGUUUUAAUUUUGGCUUUUUUGUUAACUGGAAAGAUCUUUUAUUUUAGCAUUUGUGCAAACUAUUUUACUUAACAUAUUAUCUGUAACACAUUGCAUAAGCAUGACUCUUAUCUGCGUUAGUCAUCACUUUAGACCAUGGAAUAUAACUCAUGGCAGUCUGGAUUUAAUGAAUGUUUGAAUUAACCUAUACCUAAUUUCUUGUGUUUUAAAACCUAAAUCUCAUUGAAAGCUGAGCUUUGUUUACUUCCCAAAAUUGAUCUGAGGGCCAUUUGGAACACUUAGUGUAUUCUAAAAUGUGAUCGUAUCAACAAUACACACUCAAGUUUGUUUUAAAGUGAGUUUUUCUUUCCUAGUUUACAUAAAUCAUUUAAAAAAAUCGUUCACUUUUUUGGAUCAUAAUGUACUCACUUGGCUUUUAGAUCUACAUAGCUCACAGACCAAUUUUUCAAACAGGAUUCUAAAGCUAUUUGUGGAUUACUCUCUGUUUGCUACUUGUAAUCUGCAUUCCUGAGGCAAGCAUGCUAAAACGACUGAGGAUUUUCAUCGAGCUAAGUGAUUAUACUAAAUAGGGCAAUUUUGGGUGCUCUUAGCUUCUAUGUUUAAAAAUACAAUACAGAAGAAACCAACACCACAUUUUCUGUUAAACCACAGAGGGCACUGUUUGUUCUUAAUAUAAAAUGACCCUGCUACAUAGACUCUUGUCAGUCUUCAUUAAGCAAUAAAUGUUAAGAACUUUAACUUUUUUCUCUUUUUUUUUUUUUUUUUUUUUUUUUUUUUUUUUUUUUUUUUUUUUUUUUUUUUUUCUUUCUUCUAUUUAAAAGUUAACCAGGUGUAUUACACUUCUGCAGACUGUCAUGUUCUUCCAGUGUUUGGUACCAGAUACUGCCCUGGUCCAUCCCUCCUCUCCUUACUGCUCCAUCACACCACUGGGGUAGAGAGUUUCCUCUCCAUCAAUAGGUCUGGAGAUGGAGUGCAGGAAACUGCCUUGUGAUUGUUUAAUGGUUAAUUAGCACUCUACAUUUUUACUUGCUCUUUACUUUAAAGUAUUGGAGAAAGGGAAUCAAGGCAGCACUGGCAACAGUUGAAGUGUUAACUCCUAAUAUUUCUCCUCUGGUGCUUUCAAUCAGGAUGGAGUAAAGGAAACAGAGAAACAGUGAGUUUGAAAAUCAAUUGGCUAUGCCAGUUUUGCAAUGAUUGUUUAUUCUGAACAAAAUAUGAUGACAAUUUCAGUUUUCUCAAAAGAAAAAUUUUCCAAAAUGCCUGACGCAGAAAAAGCAAUAGCAAAAUUUACAGGUUUUGCUAAAUAUAAAGUGUUGGUUGGUUGGUUUUUUUUUUUUUUUCCAUUCUAUGUAAUUGUUUGUUUGUUUGUUUCUGUAAAACAUGCUGGGAAAAAAAUUAGAUUUCCUGUGAAACAAAUUUGGGACUUGUUUUGUCUUGGAAUUUUGUUGAUACAAAUUUGCCUUAGAUCAUUGUACAGAACAUCACACAGAGAAAUGAUAAAAUGUUUAUAAUAUGAAAAUCCUCAUAGAUUAAAGGAAAUAAAUAAAAAGUAGAAAUUGUGAAAACUGUCAGUGGAAAAGUUCUUGUUCACUUGUGGCUCUGUUAACUAUUGUGCAAAUUUAGGACUUUUAAGAAACUAUAAAGUAUUACUUCAGUUGCUAUUGAUUCAAUUAAAGGUGUAUUUUAGAAGUUUCUCUCUCUCUCCAACAGUGACCCUUAUGAACUGUGCUCCUUAAUUUCAUUUCUUGUUUGUUUGAGGCCUGCAUAACUUCUGGGAUAAUUUUUUUCCAUUUUACUUUCCCAACCGGUGUAUAAAGCUGGUGCUGAUAUCUUGGAGUGCUUUGCAGCUCUUGAUGACACACUGCACUGGUCUUAGCCAGACACAACAGGUUUUGCUUUGUCUUUUUUGUGCCGGGCCAAAGACUCAUUUAGGACACAAAUGGCUGCUCAUUUUGCAAGCACUUGAAAAGGACUGCCAAAAUUAUAGAUGUCUCUGGAAAACAGGGUUGCUGAGGAUCCCCUGAUGGGCUUUAGGCAGCUUGUGAUUUUAUCACUGGGCAAUCUAUUACAGUGCUAAAUUAUCUAAUGUUGCCUUUUUUUUUUUAAUAUUCAGGUUGAAUCCCUCUUGUUCCAAUUUACAUCUGGUGUCUCUAAUCUUCCUGACAUGUCCCAAAACAGACCCUUGAGGAACUCCUCACCAGCCUCUAUUUAGGGUACUACUCAGUAACAACUACCCUUUGAAAUGGACAAUUCAAACAGUUUUUUCUCCACCUUGUAGUGCAGCCAUCAGGAUGGUGAAGGGUCACUUUGGAUAUAGGGAGGCUGAGGAAGCCAUGCUGAGAGUGUUGUUAAAGGAACACUUCCUCCACUGGGAAAUGAUUCAUGAGAAGGGUGCUGUUCUUGAGGCUAUAUUUAAAGAGACAAUUUGUAAGAGAGCUAGUGGAGACUGUCCAGAGAAAUUGAAUUUGAAUUGAAUACAUAGAAAUUCCUUUCUGAGUGUAGUUCAAUCUGAUCAUCCCUUGCUACAAGGCCAAAGGUGAUAAAUUUUUGCAGGUUUCUUUUAAAGUAUUCAGGAGUAAAGGUCUAAACUUUUUAAAGUAACCUGAAUAGUAGAUUAUCUAUACCAUCAAACAGGCAAACUCUGCUGCACAGCUGGAGUGUUACUUUCCUUGAAGGCACUACUAGGGGCAAGGACAUUAUCUUGCCAGUGAGGUUACAUGCUUUGUAUGUGUUUAAGGAUUGGGUCUGCAUUACCAUGGGAUAGUUAUAAAAACAUGCUGAUAGUUCUGCAGAAGAAUUUGAUUUUUCAAAAUGUUCUUCCUUGCCUGUCUGAUUUUCAAAAACUGGAAACAUAAUCUGGGAA